UAUGCUCAGAGUCCCCAUCUGGUUUCAACCUGCCUCUUCCCCUCUGCCCCCCCCAUCUUCCCUGAAUUCCAGCCUCCAGGGUGGUACCCAUGUUCCGGGACCCACUUCUGAGUGCCAGCCGGAGCCCAUGCAAGGACCUCUCCUUGGGGCCCAUUGUGUCUCUCGGGGGAACUUGACACUGUCUGGAGACCACUUGGCUUGCUGCUGAGGUCUGAAGGAGCCCAAACAGACGGAGACAGUUGGCCGGACUGGCAAGGAGUGCUGCUGUGGGUGGCGCCCAGGGGUGUCGCUACAUCCUGCUGUGUCCAGGACAGCCCCACAACGAGGAAUUGUCAGCCCCAAAGGUCAGUCGUGCUGAGAUGGAGGAACCCCGCCCCAAAGGCUUACCCCCAUGGACAAGCAUCACAGCAAAUCUGGGAAGCUCCUUAGACAUGUAGACUCCUGGGCCCCACCCCAGACCAUGUACAUCAGACUCUGCGUUUGAGCAGCGCCCCCCAGAGGAGUUCUGUGUUCGUUUGAGACCCAGACUGCACAGUGAGGUAGCCAGGGCUUGCGUGGAUUACACAUGUGGAUAACAGUUGCCAUGAAGGCAACAGCUCCAGGAGUUCCCACUGUGACGCAGUGGGUUCAUGAUCCAGCUUGUCUCUGUGGAGGUGCCGGUUCGAUCCCCCACCCGGAUCAGGGGGUGAAGGUUGCUGCAGCUGUGGUGUAAGUUGCAGCUCUGGCUUGGUUUGGACUGGAUCCCUGGCUCAGGAACUUCCACGUGUUGCACUGAGGGAAAGAGGGAAGGAAGAGGGAGGGAGAAGGAAGGAAGGAGGCAUGAAAGCAAGCGCUACAGAGAAAAGCAAUUGAAAAACUAAAGCUUUACAGAUCACAUGUAUUAAAUAAAGUCUGCUUUGCAAAGACUGUGUAAUCUCCCAAUGCCUGUUAAACUGCUCGUGCUUCCAGACUCUGCCAUGCUUGACUGAAAUAAACAUUAUUCAUAAUUUUUAAAAAGAGAAUGAAUG
rnacentral:lncRNA from 1 species